AUUGAACGCUGGCGGCAUGCCUUACACAUGCAAGUCGAACGGCAGCACGGGGGCAACCCUGGUGGCGAGUGGCGAACGGGUGAGUAAUGCAUCGGAACGUGCCCAGUUGUGGGGGAUAACCAGUCGAAAGACUGGCUAAUACCGCAUACGACCUACGGGUGAAAGCGGGGGAUCGCAAGACCUCGCGCUAUUGGAGCGGCCGAUGUCUGAUUAGCUAGUUGGCGGGGUAAGAGCCCACCAAGGCGACGAUCAGUAGCUGGUCUGAGAGGACGACCAGCCACACUGGGACUGAGACACGGCCCAGACUCCUACGGGUGGCAG
rnacentral:rRNA from 1 species